GACGAACGCUGGCGGCGUGCUUAACACAUGCAAGUCGAACGGAAAUGCCCUGCUUUUGUGGGGUGCUCGAGUGGCGAACGGGUGAGUAACACGGGAGUAACCUGCCCUUGACUUUGGGAUAACUUCAGGAAACUGGGGCUAAUACCGGAUAGGAUCUCCUGCUGCAUGUUGUGGGUUGGAAAGUUUCGGCGGUUGGGGCUGUACUCGCGGGUUAUCAGCUUGUCGGUGGGGUAGUGGCUUACCAAGGCUUGGACGGGUAGCCGGCCUGGGAGGUGGGACGGCCACAAUGGGACUGAGAUACGGCCCAGAAUCCUACGGGAGGCAGAAGUGGGGAGUAUGGCAGAAUGGGCGGAAGUCAGAGGAAGCAACGCCGCGAGCGGGAUGACGGCCUUCGGGUUGUAAACCGCUUUCGCCUGUGACGAAGCGUGAGUGACGGUAAUGAGUAAAGAAGCACCGGCUAACUACGUG
rnacentral:rRNA from 1 species